rnacentral:rRNA from 1 species
AGUGAACGCUGGCGGUAGGCCUAACACAUGCAAGUCGAACGGCAGCACAGUAAGAGCUUGCUCUUACGGGUGGCGAGUGGCGGACGGGUGAGGAAUACAUCGGAAUCUACUUUUUCGUGGGGGUUAACGUAGGGAAACUUACGCUAAUACCGCAUACGACCUACGGGUGAAAGCAGGGGAUCUUCGGACCUUGCGCGAUUGAAUGAGCCGAUGUCGGAUUAGCUAGUUGGCGGGGUAAAGGCCCACCAAGGCGACGAUCCGUAGCUGGUCUGAGAGGAUGAUCAGCCACACUGGAACUGAGACACGGUCCAGACUCCUACGGGAGGCAGCAGUGGGGAAUAUUGGACAAAGGGCGCAAGCCUGAUCCAGCCAGACCGCGUGGGUGAAGAAGGCCUUCGGGUUGUAAAGACCUUUUGUUGGGAAAGAAAAGCAGCAGGUUAAUACCCAGCUGUUCUGACGGUAACCAAAGAAUAAGCACCGGCUAACUUCGUG